UACAGAGGGUGCGAGCGUAAUUCGAGUACUGGGCGUAAAGGGCGCGUAGGCGGUUAUAUAAGUGAGAUGUGAAAUCCCUGGGCUUAACCUAGGAACUGCAUCUCAUACUGUAUGACUGGAGUAUUGUAGAGGGUAGUGGAAUUUCCGGUGUAGCGGUGAAAUGCGUAGAGAUCGGAAGGAACACCAGUGGCGAAGGCGGCUACCUGGACAAAUACUGACGCUGAGGCGCGAAGAGCGUGGGGAGCAAACAGG
rnacentral:rRNA from 1 species